UUGCUUUGGCAGCAUAUAUACUAAAAUUGGAAUGAUACAAAGAAGAUUAGCAUGGCCCCUGUGCAAGGAUGGCAUGCAAAUUCAUGACACGUUCCAUAGUAAG
rnacentral:snRNA from 1 species